UACAGAGGUCCCGAGCGUUGCUCGGAUUCACUGGGCGUAAAGGGUGCGUAGGUGGCUUGGAAAGUUUGAUGUGAAAGCUCAGGGCUUAACCCUGAAAUGGCAUUGAAUACUGCUGAGCUGGAGGUUUGGAGGGGGGACUGGAAUUCUUGGUGUAGCAGUGAAAUGCGUAGAUAUCAAGAGGAACACCAGUGGCGAAGGCGAGUCCCUGGACAACACCUGACACUGAGGCACGAAAGCUAGGGGAGCAAACAGG
rnacentral:rRNA from 1 species